GGCUGGUCUGAGCACAGUGGUGUUUACAGCUGAUUGAUCACAACCCGUUACAGAUUUCUUUGUUCCUUCUUGACUCCCACUGCUUCACUUGACUAGCCGUAA
rnacentral:Y_RNA from 1 species